CACGGGCAGGAACCACCGCCGGGAGUAGUUCUGAAGCAUACUCUGCCUUGCAAUUUACCUCCAUCGCCCCAAAGCUCCAUUUCCUCAGGAGCAGGAGUCUGUCUUCAGCUGGACGACAGGAAAUUAAGGGAUUUUUAUCUUCUCCUCCGGCCACAGUGUGGGGGCGUGCUGAUUGUACAUCAGGGGAGAACAAUGGUUCCUCUGACCACUUUUGAUUCAUUCCAUCUCUGGUUUCCAUGGAGCAUCAUAAAAGGAUCUAUGUGUGCGUCAGGACAGCGGACAGACGGAAGCGGCCCGGGGCAAACAGGAGAUGAAGCUUCUGCCUCAUGCGUCUCCAUCCAAAACUAAGAGAUGGCGUAUGAAGACAUUUGGCAGGGGACCCAGAAUCACCUGAAUCCCACCUUGGCCUUCGACCCCAGCUCUCCACAGUGCCCCAGGGGAGCACUCAACAGCAACUCUGAGGCAGAGAUAGACAGAAGACUGGAUCUGUAGGCACAAGAUCCUUUCAGAAGCCAAUCCAGAAGGAAUCUCCCCACCCAAGACUCCACUAUGCUGCAAUGGAGAGAAGAAAGACAUUGAAAUCAGGCAGUUGGUGAUUCGGUAUCCUGGCUUUGCCAUUUCCUUCCUGUGUAACCUUGGGUGAGAUGCUUAACCUCUCUGAGCCUCAGGUUCCUCUUCUGUGAAAGAGAUAAAAAGUCCUCGUUUGUAGAACUCUGGGGACAACUACAGGAAAAAACAUAGGUAAAGAGGCCUAAUAUAUCUUAGGUCUUCUAAUCCCUAAAUUCUCUCCAAACAUUCAGGAUGGGAAUAGACCAAUAGAACACACGCAGAUGACAUAGGCCACAUUGUGGUCUCCAUUCCAGGAGAAUGCCAUCUGGUUGAGUUUCGGCUGCCUUAUGAUGACAAAAAGAAUUCAGGCCAUUGUUGUCUCCAACAGGACACAUACAGGAGAAGCACUGAAGAUGCUUUCAGAUUGUCUGAGGGUGGCUAGAUACAACCUAUUCUUAUUAAAGCUAUUUAUAGUGAGAAGCCUUUCAGGUCAGGCCUGCCUUUCCAGUCUGCCUCAUUGGCAAGGUGAUGGGCUCUAGGCUCUGUUUGUUAUAUGUUGCUCGUGGUUUCUAUUGGUUCUGGCUUUGGUGGUUUGUUUCAUUCACACUAGAUGCCAAGGGGAACAUAUGGCCCAGUGAGCUAAGGAACAGCCUGGAUAUCCGGGGACUUUGUGCUGUCUGUGACACUUCAGAAAGUGACUCAGUUAGCCAGUGGUAACAGAAAAAAGAGAACCCGUGACUAUUUCAUCCAUUUGAGCACAGAGACAACUCUAGCCAUUUGAAUGCUUAACAUAUACACCAACCCCUUGAAAGCUAAAGUCUAAUUUGGGCUCCAUGAUUCUAGAGGUCGAGGAGCCAGGGAGGGGCUGGAGGGGGGUGACACCAGGCAACUACUGGCACUUACAAUGUUGUGCAUCCAAAAUAAAAUAGUUCCUAGAUGUUUUUAAUAUCCAGAUCUCAGAGUCAGUUCAGAGCUCAUAACAAUACAAUGACAACUGGAAUAAAACCGUAUGUGGACAGU